AGCGAACGUUUGCGGCGGGCUUAACACAUGCAAGUCGAACGGGCUGUUCCUUCGGGGGCAGUCAGUGGCGCACGGGUGCGUAACACGUAGGUAAUCAACCCUCUGGUUGGGGAUAACACUUCGAAAGGAGUGCUAAGUACCCGGUAUGGGCGCAGCGGUCUUCGGAUCGCGGCGAGGAAAGACCCGGCAAGGGGUUGCCAGAGGACGAGCCUGCGGCCCAUCAGCUAGUUGGCGAGGUAACGGGCUCACCCAAGGCGAAGACGGGUAGCUGGUCUGAGAGGAUGAUCAGCCACACUGGAACUGAGACACGGUCCAGACUCCUACGGGAGGC
rnacentral:rRNA from 1 species